UUAAGCAUAUCAGUAAGCAGAGGAAAAGAAAACAACCGUGAUUCCCUUAGUAACUGCGAGUGAAGCGGGAAAAGCCCAUCGUUGAAUCUUCCUGGACUGUGGCCAGGACGAAAUGUAACGGUAUGGAUAGUUUCUCUACCAACUCGAACCAUUGCGUGUCCGAUCAAAGUCCUCCGGAUUGAGGUGCCAGAGAGGGUGACAGCCCCGUGUGUGAUUGGACAGGGUUGGGUAUGUGGACGAUUCCGAGAGUCGGGUUGUUUGGGAAUGCAACCUAAAGUAGGUGGUAAACUCCACCCAAGGCUAAAUAUUGACACGAAACCGAUAGCGAACAAGUACUGUGAAGGAAAGUUGAAAAGCACUCUGAAAAGAGAGUGAAAAGUACGUGAAACCGCGAACGGGGAAGCGGAAGGCAGUGUCGAGAUUGAGUGGGUAUUUUGGUUCAAGUCAUGAACGCAAAGGAGCUGUAAACAUGUCAUUUUAUGUGAUGUGGUUAUGGUGACGUUGUGUGAGUGGGUUGUAGCAAAAAAGCCCAGUUGAUGCGUCAGGUCUAUUGGCGUGUGUCGGUUUUUAUUUUUGGAUUGGCUUUCACGACACUUGGAUUGGUGAAAACUGGUUCAAGCURGUGAAUGCGACCAAAAAUCCKCGACAUGUGCUGAUAUGUAAAAAUGCGUAGUGGUACGUGGCAAUACUUUGCUUUGGUCACGUUGUGGCUACAUGGAAAGUGGUUGUGACGGUACACGCGCAAACUAACACUUGAAAAACGAGUGAUGGUGUUGAGUUCCUGACGAGAUACCUAACCUUCCGACCCGUCUUGAAACACGGACCAAGGAGGCAGAAUCCAUAGCGAGUUGGAGGGUGUAAAACCCGACGGCAAAGUGAAAGCGAGAGAUGAGAUCCGGUGGUUUCGACCAGCGGGGCAUCAUCGGCCAGUCACGAUAGAGUGAUUGAGUUUGAGCUGUGGAUGCUGGACCCGAAAGAUGGUGAACUAUGCGUGAGCAGGGUGAAGCCAGAGGAAACUCUGGUGGAGGCUCGAAGCGAUUCUGACGUGCAAAUCGAUCGUUUGACUUGCGUAUAGGGGCGAUAGACUAAUCGAACCAUCUAGUAGCUGGUUCCCUUCGAAAUAUCCCUCAGGAUCGCUGAGACAAGUGGUAAACAGUUUCAUCGGGUAGAGCGAAUGAUUAGAGGAAUCGGGGAUAUAUUACUCUCGACCUAUUCUCAAACUUCCAACCGGUGAGAGUGGCGUUUUCUUGAGUGAAAUGUCGCGGUGAAUGUUUUUGUCUCAAGUGGGCCAUUUUUGGUAAGCAGAACUGGCGAUGCGGGAUGAACCGAGAGUUGAGCUAAGGUGCCUAAGGACACGUUGAUAGAUACCACAAAAGGAGUCGGUCGAUAAAGACAGCAGGGCGGUGGCCCUGAAAGUAGGAAUCCGCUAAGGAGUUGUCUAAAAACUCACCUGCCGAAUCGACCGGCCCUGAAAAUGGAUGGCGCUGAAGCGUGUGACCGAUGCUCGACCUUUACCGCGAGACAUGUCGGUAAAGGGUAGAAGGGCGCGGCGGUGGCGAUAAAGUGCAAAGUGUAAACUUGUAUGGAGCUGCCGUCGGUGUAGAUCUUGGUGGUAGUAGCAAUUAUAAAAGUGAGAACCUUUUAGGCCGAAGUGGAGAAGGGUUCCACGUGAACAGCAGUUGGACGUGGGUUAGUCGGUCCUAAGCGGUUGCCUAACGGCUAUUUCAAUGGCGGCUUUAGUCACGCAAGUGGCAAAAGACUUGCUUUCCGCGAAAGGGAAUCAGGUUAAUAUUCCUGAACCGGGCUUUGGAGACGCUGCCGGCGUAUCAUGCAAAGGUAGCUUAGCGGCAACGCGAGCAAUCUCGGAGACGUUGGCAUUCAUGGCGGGGAGAAUAAUCUUUUCUGCAUAACAGGCGAAUUAGCUCGGAAUCGAGUCAUUCGGAGAUGAGGUAAAAAGCCUGGAAGAGCACGGCAUGUAUUGCAGUGUCCGCAUUGUGGGUGCCGACCCUUGAAAAUCCGAGGGAGUGUGUAAAUUUCAAGUCCGUCCGUACCGAAUCCGCAUCAGGUCUCCUAGGUGAGCAGCCUCUGGCACUGGAAGAAUGUAGGUAAGGGAAGUCGGCAAAAUGGAUCCGUAACUUUGGGAAAAGGAUUGGCUCUAAGGGCCGGGCCAGUCGAGCUAGUAUUGCCUAGGCUAGUGGGGGCUUUGUCGGGUUUGCUGAUUGGCAACUUUGAGCAAAUUUGGUGAGGCAGACGCUGGCCAAGGAAUGCGUGUGUGAACUUGUGGGUUGUAGAGUGGCGGUCGUGUGUGCAUUGGCUUGAUUGUGAGUGUGCAUGUGGGCGUUGCGUUUGCAGCUUGGGGUUCUUUGCGAGUGGCGAGCAUCGGCCAGCUUAGAACUGUUACCAACUAGGGGAAUCCGACUGUUUAAUUAAAACAAAGCAUUGCGAUGGCCGGAAACGGUGUUGACGCAAUGUGAUUU
rnacentral:rRNA from 1 species